GCAAAAAGCCCGUCCCAAGCCCUGCAUGGGCUCCUACUGCACUUCAGGAUUUGGGGGAAUGCAGAAUCGUGGUCUUUGAGUUUUCAUUAAUUCAAUAAAGAUUUCUCAAAAGCCUAAAUUCUAGACCCAAGACAGUGGGAAUUAAACAGGGCUGAAUAUGACGCUAUUGGCUAUACCAGGACCACGCCUGAGCAUUGCAUGCACGCUCCAGCUAUGCAUAACUUAUUUAUUUUAAAAGAAGGAAGGAAGAGAGGGAGGGAAACAAGGUGUUUCUUAAGAGUAGAGGAGGGGAGAGGCAACUUGUUGCUUUCACUGGCAACAGUUAACUCCAUAAGCAAUUUCCUCACUUAAAAGAAAAACAAAUGAAGUAGAGUGGUAGGCUUUUGAAAGGAGGAGCAGAGAGCUCCGGUGAGUGGAAACCUAGCUUUUAUUCACCUUAGGGCCUUGUUAAAACACAUUUGCCUUGAGAUAAAAGGGUUUCUUUUGGGACGAUCCCAAAAUGACUUUGCUUGAUUCAAUUAAGCAAGACCUAACGAAAGAGAAUUCCAGCUUAAGAUACGCAUCAUCUCACCAGCAGGCAUGUAUCCAGUAGAUGUGUUGGAAGAUGAUCCUGACGCACAACAGGAAGCAGCUCUGGCUUACCAUGCCUCACUUAGGGAAGGAGCUGGGGCCCCAGCUGAGGUUUUCUGUCUUCCCACUGGGGAGAAGGAAGUUUUGGCUGGGUGCGGCGGCUCACGCCUGUAAUCCCAGCAUUUUGGGAGGCAGAGGCGGGCGGAUCACCUGAGGCCAGGAGUUCGAGAC
ensembl:lncRNA novel transcript